GAUGAACGCUGGCGGCGUGCUUAACACAUGCAAGUCGAACGGAAAGGCCCAAGCUUGCUUGGGUACUCGAGUGGCGAACGGGUGAGUAACACGUGGGUGAUCUGCCCUGCACUUCGGGAUAAGCCUGGGAAACUGGGUCUAAUACCGGAUAGGACCACUUCUUGGAUGUUGUGGUGGAAAGUUUUUUCGGUGUGGGAUGAGCUCGCGGCCUAUCAGCUUGUUGGUGGGGUAAUGGCCUACAAGGCGUCGACGGGUAGCCGGCCUGAGAGGGUGUACGGCCACAUUGGGACUGAGAUACGGCCCAGACUCCUACGGGAGGCAGCAGUGGGGAAUAUUGCACAAUGGGCGCAAGCCUGAUGCAGCGACGCCGCGUGGGGGAUGACGGCCUUCGGGUUGUAAACUCCUUUCGCUAGGGACGAAGCGUUUUGUGACGGUACCUGGAGAAGAAGCACCGGCUAACUACGUG
rnacentral:rRNA from 1 species